AUUAUUAUUAUUAUUAUUAUAAUAUAGUAUGUGUUUUUUGUGUGAAAAGUGUUUGGUGUAUGGUAGCUGACUUGUGGUAAUUAUAUUAACAAUGGAGGGCUCCACUUUGAAAAUUAUUUUACGAUUUCAGCUGGACUUAUUUUGGGCAUAUUUUUAGUUAUUUGGAGGCUACGUUUAUUUCAAUUUUAGGACAACCUUCUAUGUAUACUGU
rnacentral:misc_RNA from 1 species